UGGCGUGACAGCCCCGUGGGGGGCAGCCCGGCAGCCUCCUCCCGGCUGAUGCGCAGUGACAUUUGCAAUCUGUUGCCAUGGGCGCUCGGGGACUUUUGCUGUGGAGGGGGAUCGCGUUUCUCCCCCCUCCUCCUCCUCCUCCUCCCCUUCCCUCCCUCCCGAUGACGUCAUGGAUGACCACGGUGGUGACAGGGCCACCUGUGGGCUGAUGAGGGGUUUAAAGAGACAGUCUGCAGCUGCAACAGGAGCCCUGGCUAUUGUCUCCGCACCUGAGAGCGGGGAGACCUGCAGCCCCCAAACCAGCCAUCCAUCCGCCCGCCCGCCCGCCGCAUCCCGUCCCGUCCGUGUCACCUCAUCCCUGCAUCCCCUGCCUCCACCACUGCAGCUCUCCCGGGACCGUCCCAAGCUGGGUCCCGUAUCCCUUCCCUGUAGCGGCUCCGCCAAGGAUCAUCUGAGGUGGGAAAUACCAGCUGGGAUAUCCAGCCCAGCAUCUGCACUCCUGGAGGACAGCUACCUCUCUGCUUGGUCCAAACUGUUGCACCAAGGGGUUUCCAAGAAGACAAGGUGGCAUGUGCCAUCCAUGUCCACACUGGUAAGGCUGCCCAGGGAGAGACAUAGCCAUCCAUAUCUUCCAGUCAUAAUGCCUUGAAUAUGAAUUUUGAAGGGGCUCUGACAGCAGAUGACAGGGUUAGGUUAAUGGAGGCAGCACUAAGAAAUCUAAUUAACCCACAGUAUGUUGUUUAAUUUGUGCAAAGUUGUUGUGGUUACUCAGCUAUAAACUCCAUCCCCAGCUUUAAUGACAGUCACUUGCAUGGCAGCAGUGGAGAGCAUCCUGGAGGUGGGCAGCCACCCUGUGCUCACCCUUGAAGGUGCCCUCAAUUACGUGCAGAGUGUUCCAGUGGUUGCCUCCAUCUGGUUCUUCCAUGGCAUUUGAGACCCUUUUCUAGCUCUGCUCUUUGGAACGGGCACCGGUGCUGCUUCGCUGCCUGCUCUGGCAUUCAACCCUACUGCAUGGCUUCCAAAAACCAGCCUUCAGGACCCAGCAGUGUCAAUCUGUUGAUUGCACUCAAGUCCAGGAGAUGGCUUCAGGUCAUUGAGUUCCCAUCACAGCUCUUAAGCUGUAAUUAUGUUCAAGGCUCUUUGCCUCAGUUAUGUCUUUUUACUAAUGCUUGCAGCCACUGUACUGAUCUUUUCUUCAAGGCUGACCUCCAUGCAGCUUCCCAGGAGAGAGCCAGGAGUUAUUUAUGCCAAUUCACAAACCAAAGGCCAGUUGUCCAUUAUACGAUUUUUUGAAAAAUCAGCAGGGCUGAUGGUGACUGAGUUCUUUGUGUUGGUUCAGGGAGAAGCACAGGAAAAGGGAUGGAUGUCACAGGUCAUGUUCUCUUCCCAGGUUAAUCUUCCCCAAAGAUCUUUGACCAGACAACAGCUCCUCUGAAGAGGUGCUCUGGAGCCUGUGGUGCCCACAGAAGGGUGAUGCUGCACCUCAGCACCUCCAUCUCUCACCAAAGCUCCGUGGUCCCCCCAUGGCCGCUACAGGAGACACAGACACACAUUUACCUUGCAGGGCUAUUCUCCCUGGGGAGCAAAAAGCUUUACCCAGGUCCCAGAAGACUCCCAGUUGCCCAGUGAGGUGGAGUUUGACAAGAAAA
ensembl:lncRNA